AGAGCCAUCUAGGUUUAUUUAAAACUAUACAAGUGAUCACAGGGAGAGCUCUUAAAGGAACUCUGACCUUUACAAGUUUACAAGCAUAUUUAUACUUCAGACAGCAAGAAAAGAUGCAGGGUUUAGACAAAGCAACCUUGAGAGAAACAGAAAGAUGUUGAUCAUUUGUUUGUCACACGUAAGCAGUUUACUUACUUAAAAAAAACACUAUGUUUUGGGAACAGUUAUCAGCUUCUAGUUUGGCAGAAAGGAGAAGGUUAACAUCUGCACACAGACAAAACAAGGCAUGAAGGUUUUUCCUUAUCUUAGAACAUUUUGAAACACAUAGCAUCAGCAUCUUCUCUUCUUUUUCUCUAUCUUUGUCUCUCCUCCUAGUCAAGUAAGAGGCCUGGUUCAACUUACUUCCACAGAGGGGAAUGCUGAUUUUUCACAAGAUCAUCUUUCAGAUAAAACAGUUUUGAUCAGUGGGAGACAGGAGGAGAAAUGCUAGCUAAGAAGAAUAGAAAAUAUAAAAGAAUUUCUUGUCAGUGAGCAUUUAAUGAGACAACUUAAAAUGGGGAAUAUGUAAAUAGGAAAUUACUAUUCAAAGUGGAGCUAUAUAUUUUCUGAUUGUUUUCUUUCUUGUGUUACAAACGAAGUAGCUGGAAAGAACCUUAAACAGUGGAAAAAUGGGUUUUGGUCAUAGAAACAAAGGGUGGUUUGUGAAUCUGAAGAUGGAUGAAAACUGUUGAGGAAUGUGAACUACCACCUUUCAAGAGAGGUGGAUCAGAGUACUCCAGUGUAUGGUGUUAAGGAAACUGCUGCAUGAACUUAAUGGAUAUAACAGUCGGAGAAAGGAACCAUAUCACCCCAUCAAUAUUUAAACAGAACUCCCUACUGAAAUCAGGUUCUGAAACAUAAUCUCUCCUUUAGCUUGUUCCAUGGCAAUGAAACUUGAAUAGUAUAUAGCAAACACCUCAGUAAAACCCAGGCCUCCAAAUUCUAUGCAAAAAAUGAAGUUCAGAUCUCAGUAAAUUGAUGGCACAAUACAGCCAUAUCAUUCUGGAGAAGUGGUCAAAGCCAGAUGUGCUGCUAAUAAACUUUAGUGAUCAUGCAUGCACUAUUGAUUCCUAUUUAUACUGAAGAAUUUAGUGUGUUCUGUAGUAUCUAGUUCCUCUGCAUAUUUUGGAUAUUUAGUGUCCAAGAAUAGCUUAGCUUUAGUUAUUAUUUUUAGGAGGUGUUUAUUAAAUGGAAUGACUGAAGGGGCUCCUGGGACUCUAUAGCCCAGUCUCUGCUCAUUAUUGUGCACCACAAUAUUUUGUAUCUGUCUGACAGUUGCUUGCUUUCUGGAGUGACAUACCCUUCAUUUUUGAUUGAAUAAAUACAGCAGUAGAUUCUCAAGAAAAUAACCAAGAAAAAGAAAGAGAUGACAAUAUGGGGUUCAGCUCAACUCAGACUUUAAGGGGGCUGGAAAUACUCCUUGAGAUAGAAAAGGUGUCAAUUUGGUGUGAUUACUAAAGAAUUAAAUAUAUGCCACCUCAGCUUUCAUCAGGUCACGUUGUUUUUUGUUUGCUUCUGUAAUGAGCUCAGAUCAGACUGGUGACUGGACUGAUUAGAGCAAUUCAGCCUCUGAGGGCAUAUACAGACAUUAAAGAAGCUGUGGGAGGAAUUGAUCUAAGUUACAGAGUUUUCUCUGUAGCAGCCUAGUUUAGACUAGAAGCAAACAGUAUAUAUGUUCACUGUUGGGGGGGCAUGCAGGCAACUUGUGCUAGUAGAGGCCUGGAGGUGGGGUGUGCUCCUGCAUGCCCCGAGAACUCCCUGGGCUGCCAGAGACUGCUAAGAACAGCCAAGUGCCCAGACCACCAGAUUGGCUGCUGGGUACAGUCAAGCAUGGCCCCAAACCCUCCAUCACAUCACCGUCAACCUUACUGUAUGUCCUGCCCUCAGGCUUCUAGAAGAGUGAGUGCCCUCCCUCAUGAAUUGCAUAUGCCUCCAUAUCCUAGACUGCCUGCACAUGGUGCCCCACCACCUGAGCCAGAGCAUGAAGACACAGGAGCUGCUGUGUGUCCUGCUUGUUAGCCUGCAUGACUCUCAAAGGAGGCUGCAGGACAUCAUGCAUGGUCAUCUGGACAUGAUUUAGCAGCUGGUCACUAGGGGAUAUAGCUUCCUGCCUCCAAGCCAGCAGCUGGCAAUACUGAACAAAGCCAUAUACUGCACCUUCAAGUGUUUUGGACUGGGCCAAUGACUUCCAAGUGGCCAAUGAGGACAAGGCUAGCCAGGAUGCUCUGGUGCCCUGGCACCACUUCCAGACCAUUGAGCACUGGUUCUGAGUCUAUGCCACCAGCAGCCAAUGGUGGGAGUGGAUUGUCCUGGACACCUGGGAUGACAAAAAGUGAGUCCAAACACUCAGUAUGUUCUGGGCUACCUUCAUGAAAAUUGUCACCCAGGUGGCCACCCACAUUGCAUGCCAGAAUGUCAGCAUGUUAAUACCCUUCAAUGCAAAGAAGUGGGUGGCCAUCACUGUCAUAAAUCUGGCUACGCACAGCAGUAUCUGCUACGUCACCAACCAGUUCGGUGUAGGCAAAUCCAGGAGUGUGUUUUGUCAUCCGAUGUGUUUUGGGUAGCAGGGUGCCUGGCUAUGGCCUCUGAGAUGUGGUGUGCAGAUGCCAGGAUCAUGUUCUGUGGGGCUGUGCCCAAGCAUGGGGAUGUGAGGGUCCCUGGCUAGGUAUACAGGUGCCAGGGCUGGGGUCCAUGGGCCUAUGCCCUGAAUGUGGGGGUCCUCCUGGGCUCAGUAUUUGUGUGCAUGUCUUGGGAUGUUUAAUGACAGGGUGUUGGGGGUGUGGGGGCAUGGCCCAGGCACUUGGGUGCCCAGAUCCCAGGGUUCAUUCAUGGGACACUGAUGCCUCCCUUCUCGCCACUGCCUGCCUGCAGUUGGCAAAUGGCUGGAGGCAGAAGGUGAGCCUGGGGAGAAGGGCUGUGCUUGCUCAGCUCUGGGAGAACUGGGGGGGCUGCUGGGUGCUUGGCCAAAGCAGUCAACUGUGGGCCAAGUGCUAGUACACCUCCCUGUGAGGGAGGGGUAGCAGGGACUUAAAACAGGCUGGGGUGCCAGAGGACAGUGAUCUAACUUGAAUUGAUAGGGAAAGAAUACAGAAGUUAGAUUCAUCAAUCUAACCUAAACCAAUCUGAAUUGAGUGUAUGUCACACCAAGUCUAUCUUAGACUGCUUGCGCUAUUUUUAGACAUGUUUAUGUGCCCUGAACUUUUGGACAAUUUUGGGUUUGUAUCAAUCUUCAUUUACUAAGAUUGGCCUAAGUGUAAUAUCUGCACAUGCUCUGAAGCUGUAGGGAAACAGGCCCCACCUCCAAUAAUGUUGGAUGAGUACGUUGGUCCUAGCUGGUCAUAACUGAACAAUCAGGGCAACCAGUCUCCUGAGGCUACAGGAAACAGGUUACACACACUCCAACCUUUAAAAGUGUGUCCAUAGCUGGAUCUAGAAAUUUGAAAAGAGGGGUGCAGAUAGUGAGGUGCACCAUCAUAUAUAAUACAGCACAUAUUUUUCUCCAGUUAAAAAUAAACUAGAAACUUUACUAAUACACUAGAACCUAGGGCUAUACAACUCAGUUUAAGACUGAUGUAAAAACAUAUAUAACUUCAUUGGAAUUACUUUAAAACAGUCUGCAGGGCUGUGAAAUAGAACCUUCAUUGCCAGGAACAGGUAACAGACAGCAGAAUUGCAAAACAAUGAAUAGCUUGAUUGGUGGAACAUCAAGAACAUUAAAAAGAAGAGAGGGUUAUUAUCUUGUUAACAUCUGUGGAAUGAAAAGUUUAGAGGGGAUCAAGUAGAAUAUAAUAAGCCUUGAAGUCACAUGACUUUCUCAGCAACUACUCUCUCAUGAAGAAAGAAAUGCUGUUGUCACUUCCAGGCAGUUGGAUUUAACUUUGGGGAGACAAGGAAUUGAAAUUGGGUGCAAGUGCACCAUUGAACCACUUCCUGGAUCCAUCCUGGAGCUUGCCCCAGACAACAAUACACUGUUCCGGCAGACUCUGGUGCUUGCUCUUGACCCCUCUGAGGUUCCUGGACUUGCUUAUUGGGUACUUUCUUUGAUUCCAGGCACAUCUGACUUGAGCCUUGAAUCCUGGUGCAUCUUGAUUUUGGCUUGACUUACUGGUCUUGACUCUCGGCUCCCUGUGACCCAGUUCCUGGAUUUUGCCUGAUUAGCAGGUGACCUCCCCAGCUGUCAAUGGCCUGGUCUGUAACAGUUUCUAGAGUGGGUGUCCUUAAGUAUGUAUAUGCUAUAGGUAUGGACCUACAUGAUCUGCUUUAACAAGGUUUUUUUUGUGCAGUGCAUGACAUGCUUCAUCAUUGUUUGACAGAUUUUAAUGUUUCACAUAUUACAAUUUUAGUGCUUUUUAUGGGGUAGGUGAACAUGAGAUCACAGGAAAAUAGAUUGGAAGAGGCCUCAUGAGGUCAUCCACAAACUUCUUUAGGUAAUCUGUUCCAAUGCUUGACCAUUCUCAUGGUCAGAAAGUUCCUCCCCAUCUCAGGCUAAAUUUCCUCUGCUGAAGCUGGAGGCUGUUGUUCCUUGUUUUGUCUCCUAUGGCCACAGAGAAUAAAGAAAUGCAAAAUACCUUUAAGUACAGUUAGUUUCAAACAGAAAGUAUACUGCUUUUUUUAGUCAACCUGCUUAGUCUUUGUGAAGUACCGGGAUUCUUUUGAAGUGCAGUAAAUUUAAAAUGUACAUGGUGUCUGGAGAAUACUCCUAUGUGUAAUAGAUGGUGUCUCAUAAACAGUUCUCUAUCUGGAUGAUGAGAGUAUGAAGAGAAACACAAUGUUCAUAAUUAAGAUAUACUGACAAAGAGAUACACUAAAGUGGAAAAAACAAAUUUAUUAUCAAACUUUAAAAAGGAAAUAACAAAAUACUAUUUUUAUUUACUACAUUUGAGUGUAAAUUAACACUGGAACAGCUCAGUACUUGUACACCUCCAGAUUAUUUAAAGUAUAAACACAAUUACAGGGUUAGAAAUAUUCAUACACUCAACCUGCUGGGUUGGCUGAAUAAGUGUACACUAAUGGGAACCUAAAAGCAUAGAUUUUUGUACUUUGUUAUGUUUAGGUUGUCAAUUAUAAGACACCACUAAGUGCUUCUUAUUUAAUGAAGGUGAGGAAUUUAAACAUGCUAGGGAAUUUUUUUCCCUUAAAUUCAUUUCCUUUUUAUAUUAAUACAUUGUCCAACCUGUGUAUUACCAAAAAAUGUACAAGAUAUACUCAUAAAUCUUUCCAACCAAG